GCGCCUGUAGCUCAGGUGGAUAGAGCAACGGCCUUCUAAGCCGUGUGUCAGGAGUUCGAGUCUCUUCAGGCGCACCA
rnacentral:tRNA from 1 species